UUAUCCACUUCUGAAUCAAUCGACUCUAAUCAGACUGUAAGCGCUCAUGAACGAUCAGUCGACAAUCAACUGCUUGGGUUUUGGAACACUAAUUCUUAUAAAUUUGCACAAGUGGUUCUUUUUGUAACUGUGUUUAGUCUUAUGCAUGUUCUUACCAGUAGGCUUACUAACUCAUUAACAAUACUAACACAUUAAUAAUGUAGUUUGAUCAGUUACAAUAAAAACCACUUGUUGCAGUUUACUUAGGAAGACUUAGCGAAACGGCUCAGAAGAAAACACUUGGGUAAGCAAUGGUCUCUUCAGGAUUGCCCUCAACUUACACACGUGCCUGCAUUGGACUUAUCUUGCUGUCGGAAACAUUAACUCAAUGGUGUUCCUAGAGAAGAUACAUGCUGCAUUCAAUCAAGGGUGUAAUAGAAGAAUGUCAUCCGUCAGUUGUGAUAAAUCAAGACAAAGUAAACUGAUUGGCUCCAUUGUGAAGAUUGCGGAUACAGCAGUUUAGACAUUAAAACAUUCGUUGGGCAAAGAAAUAUAAGUAUUAAAAUAUUUUUAUACUUGAUAUAUAUACUUAAGAAUUAUGUUAAAUAAUUUGUUUUAUAGGCUUAUUUGACGAAACUUUAGGCGGUCUUCUGAAUGGUUUGCACUCUGGUCUCACUUUACUCGAACGUCUUGGAUUUUGGUCUCAUCUUGCUCGAAUAGCCUGCGGCCUGGUCUUGUACUUGUUGUAUCGAAUUGCUAAUUUGACUAGUACUGCUGAUCGUGCUGUCCCAAAACACUUGUCAAGAUUCUACUAUGUGUUGCAUUGAGAAGCCAAUGCCAAGAACCUAAAUGUAAUAUGGGAGAAAUUCAUUUAUCAAUUGUGAGGAAUUAAGACCAGAGUGAAGUGACCGGCAACCGAUGAACCUCAUUGUCAUGUUUGGGCGUCUUAAACUUCUGGCCACUGAUGACUUCGAGGUCUUUUGUUGUUAUAAAAAU